CUAACCUCCUUGAGCCUCAGUUUUCUCGUUUGUCAAAGGGCGAUAAUAAGAGGACUCAUCCUAGAUCCUAUAAAGGGAGCCCUGGGGAGGAAGGCAGGAGGACCUGCAGAAACUCUAGCCCCGGGCCUGGCCUACAGAGUGAGCGCUGGCGAGCAGCUCCCUGCGGGGCACACGACCCGGCUGCGCUCGGCAGUCCCAGCCUGCUCUGAAUCCGCAAGCAGUUUCUGUGCGGGCCCCCAAAUCCGGAACCUCGGGGUCUGUCCUAACUGCGCCGCGGCCCGGGCGCUCGGCCGGAGCAGGGCCGCCGCGCCACCUUCCCGGGCAGGUUUCCCGGGCCGAGUCGUGCCUCGGGCGGGUCCUGCGAAGGGCGCUCCGGCUCCGGUCGCUGUCGCCGGCGGCGGGCGCGCUCCGGGCGGGGGAAUCCGAGUCGGAGGAAGCGUCCGGCUCCCGCGGAGUUGUGUGAAUCUGGUCACGUUGCGCCGUGGCUAUGACGCGCUCCUAAGAGGACCCUUUCUUGUUCCAAACGUUAUCCGACGCGGUGGUUCCGGCAGCGCGCGGGAGAAAUGCAGAACGAGAUCGUGCCUCUGAAGGAACUCCGGCGGGUUUUGCCCGCAGAAUGGAA
rnacentral:lncRNA from 1 species